rnacentral:misc_RNA from 1 species
GAUGAAGAACGCAGUGAAAUGCGAUAAGUAAUGUGAAUUGCAGAAUUCAGUGAAUCAUCGAAUCUUUGAACGCACCUUGCGCCCUUUGGCCAUUCCGAAGGGCAUGCCUGUUUGAGUAUCAUGAACACCUCAACUCUUUAUGGUUUUCCAUGAUGAGCUUGGACUCUGGGGGUUUUGCUGGCUCACAGUCGGCUCCUCUAAAAUAAAUCAGCUUACCAGUGUUUGGUGGGUAUCAUAGGUGUGAUAACUAUCUACGCUUGUGGUUUUUCCACCAGGUAACCUUCAGCAGUGGAGGUUCGCUGGAGCUCAUAGAUGUCUCUCCUCAGUGAGGACAGCCCUUUGAAUGUUUGAUCUCAAAUCAGGUAGGACUACCCGCUGAACUUAAGCAUAUCAAUAAGCGGAGGA